GAGGAGAAUGAGCUCGUGGGGAUCUCAGGUGGACCUGGCCGAUGAGUUUAGAGAGGGACUUUCCUUCUCGCGCUCAUCGGCGGGGGGCGAGAGACAGCCACUGGAGGAUGAUGUUCUCUCUUUAACAUCAUCCGAUCCAGGGGCCAGUGCUCUGCUGGGUUCAGCCCAGGAAGAGCAGGAAAUGGAUGAUGAGAGUGAAGAAGCUGAGGCUGAGCCUUCUCAAUCCUCCUGCCCUGCGUAUGAUGAGCUCUUAGAGGUUAUGGAUCGCGCCACGGCAAGACUUGACUUGCCAUGGAAGCGGACUAAGGAAGUGGCGUCGCGAGGUCGUCUCGACGAACGUUAUCUUUCUGGCCAUAACCCUCCAGCUCAGGUGAGUCUUCCUUUCCUUCCUGACCUCCAUACUGAGAUCGAGAAGGAAUGGAAGAAGCCGUUUUCCUCACGCAUCCAUCGGUUUCAGCAUACCAGUUAUGCGAAUAUCGAGGCGGUGCGCGAAAACGGCUAUGAGAGAAUGCCCCCUGUAGAAGAGACGCUAGCUAGCUAUCUCUCUAUGGGAGAGACAUCAUCUCUCAAAACUCCCUCCUUGCCAUCCAUGCCUCUUCAAGCUACAUCUAAAAUGAAUGGCAAGGCAUACGCAGCAGCAGCAGGUCAGGCUGUUGCUUCACUGCACACGAUGGCGGUGCUCCAAGCAUACCAGGCUGAUCUGCUGAAAGACCUGGAUAAAGGCGAGGGCCUUUCUUCUGAUGAGAUGGCUGAGUUACGCCGCACCACGGAUCUUGCUCUUCGUGCUACUAAGCAGGCUGCCUCUGCCAUGGGCAGAUCUAUGGCAGCGAUGGUAGUAACGGAGAGGCAGCUGUGGGUAAACCUGGCAGACAUCGGGAAGAAAGAAAGGGGUUUUCUUCUCGAUGCCCCGGUUUCGCCCUCUGAACUUUUUGGUACAUCCGUUGAGACGGUCGUCGAAAAGUUCAGGGAGGCGAAGGCACGCUCAGCGGCCUUCAAAACCUUCAUUCCACGAAGGUCCAGGUCUGAG
rnacentral:lncRNA from 1 species